GUAACACAGGUAAGUGCAGGAGAGCGAGAGCGUGAAGGCGAAGAGCAGCCUGCGCGCCCUCCGCGGCUGAGGUGGCCCCGCGCGGCCCAGGACCCUAUAGGCCAUGGCUCCAUGGGCCCGCGCCGGGGGUCAUGGUUUCCGAGGGGGCACCGGCGGCUGAGCUGCUGUGGCCCUGCGGUCGCCUAGAGGGCUCGCGUGGCGCUGCCACGGCCACGCGGGUCGGGCGUUGGGGGCGCCGUCUUCUCCGGGGGCUGCUGACCAGGGUGCGCACAGUGCCAGGGGGUCCCGGGGGCAGCGGCUCCUCGGGGAACAGGCGGUUGCAUUUCCAGCAUCUCCCGGUCCUAGGCGAUGGGGCUCCGGGCAGCCGGGCGGCUCGGGCGCUCCCAGGCUCUUACGUGCGCCGGGUUCGGAGCGCGCCCAGCGCCCGAAGCCCCAUUCCUGAUCCUCGGAGCGCCGCUCACGAAACGCUCGGCGGCGGCGCGGCUGUGCGGGCUGGCGGGUGGACCGGACGGUGGCGCUGGCGCCGGCCGCGAUCUGGCUCUUCGGGAAAUGCCGAGCGGAGCGCGCUGCCGGCUCUAUUUAAGGAGUGGCCUGACGUCAGCCGCGCGGGUCCCCCGAGCCCGCGCCGCGCCCAGGGACCUGGCCCGCCCCCUGCGCCCCCACUCUCUUACCCCUCCCAGAAACACAGCACGCGGGCCCUCCCCAUGCAGGCCACUCCCUACGGAGCCCCAGGCCAGCUUUGGGGCGGUGAAACGAAGGUGUCAAGGCAUAGUACUCCUCCGGGAGGCUGGACACCCCCACCACGCUGGCCUCUCGACAUCCAGGGACACGAAUCCAGGUCGAGAUCGCGCCGACAUGCAGACCAGACAGACCCAGACGCAGACGCAGGCACCCUGCCCUGAUGCGCGGUCCCACCACCCUGACCCGCACACGCACGCACAGGCACAGAAGCACACGCGCCCUAGCCCGGACACACCCCCACACCCACGCGGGGGUGGGGAGGAGAAGUCCCCUAACCUGGGCCCAGAUACACCGACAAGGACACUCCCCCCGCUCUCGACAUCUCGCCAAAUGGACACACACAGCCCGGAAUCGGACACCGAGCGCACGCACGCCCUGGACUGGGACACGCGCUGUAGACGGGAUGGGUGGAGGAGCCGAGCAGACACUAGGAGGAGGAAACAGAGUACAAGGAGAACGUAUCCAGGAGCAAUUCCACUUCGAAUGAUUCCUAAGUGAAUGCCUACAGGACAGUUCUCGGUGACCAUGUCCAGAACAGGCAUAAGUGACGAUCCCCAGUACUUCCCUGAGGGACCACACUGGUACCUUGGAUCAGAACCCUGCAUCAGAACAGGCCUAAAUGGCCAUGGCUAAGAACACGGCUGAGUUGUCCUUCAACAGCAAUGCCAAUGCCAAUUCACCAUGUCCGAGUGUUCACAAGGCUCCUCUCCUGGAUGUAAGCUAAUUUGUCUAUGUCUCUUCUAAAAUCUCACACCUGGGACUGCGCGAGGAAUUUCAGAUAUGGAUUGAAAAGUUCAACAGGACUCUCACCUCUCUUUUCUUCAAGAGAUGCUUCAAAAUGCAGUCUUGAUUCUGGAUGGCUGUAUGCCUGGCUAACACUUUGAGAUUUUGGUAUCAAGAAAGAACUAAAGAAUGGUUAUGGAGGACAACUAGUAAUCCUUGCCAUCCUUGGACAAACAGUUUUCCCUCUUUUAUUCCCAUGUGGUUUGUAUGGGUUGAACAUAGUUCAAAGACAGGCAUAUGACCAAGCCUGACAUCAUCACUUUCUAAUUAUAUUUCAAGAACUGAAAGUAACUCAAAUCUUUCUAGUGAGAAUAAACCACACAACAUUUGUGAAAACUAUUGGAAAAGAGAAACUUCUUUUUCUGAGAUGAUGAAUUAAUCUAAAAUAAGCCUGAAGCUUCCAAUGGUCAUCUCUGCUAUCAAGAGGAGAAACCAACAAUAAAGCCAACAAAGAGGAGAGCAGAACUGAUGGAGGGAGAAUUAGAUUCCUGAUAAUAUCCUUUGAACCUCUGAAUCUAGCCAUGCGGAAUGCAUGGACCCUGGACUUUAUUGCUGCAGUGAUUAGCUAUCUUUCUGUUAGCACUUGCAACUGAAAGAGUGCUGACCAAUACAACAAACAAACAAAAAGAGUUGCUCCCUCCGUUGCAAGGAAUAGAUACCAUUUUAAUAAAAAGUGUUGGAGGUGGGGGGGCUUAUUUUGAAGGAUAUGCAUGUAUCAGGACUGCAACCCUUCCAAAUUUGAGACAGUCAUAGGAUCCAGUUACUUUCUUCAACUUCUCUACUUUUCUUGUAUCUUAUUUAUUUUGCUUCUCAUUCUUAACUGCCAUUGCUCUUUAUUUAUGAAACAGUAAGGGUUACUAGAAGUGAAAAAAAGAGAUUUGGGAUAUCUUACACAGGAAAGGAACUUUGGGGUAGCUCACAAAAUUAAGAAGAAGGCUGGAGAACUGGGCUCAAAUAGAAUAGCAACCAAAGAGCACAUUACACUCUCUUUCUUUUCUUUUUCUGAGUCCAUUUCUCUUUCACAUUAGCAUUCUCUUGAAUCUUCCUUCCCACUCUAAUGCCCUGCAUUCAAGACUUUGAAUUUAAAAUCAUAAAAUAGGAAAUUUUCUUCCCCUUCAGUCUUUGGGCCUAAUCAAGCCUUGUUAUUCAGUUUUAUUUCAGUGUGUAAGCUUCAAAUCUGUUCCCUAAAGCAGAGUUUUGCAAAAAUGUGAGAAAAUGUCCCAAAGAGGGUGACUCCUAUGAGGCAAAGGACAGUGAAGUGGAGCCACAUGGUCUGCAGGGUCUGUGAGGUACAAAGUUUGCAUCUGAAUCAGAGGAUGUGCAUAUAUCUGCUACAUUUAGGAAAGAGGUUGAGAGCGAGAAUGAGAGAUUUCAGUUGUGCUUCAUUCUUUGGAUAAAAUCAGAGGGUAAAAGCUCAAGGGGCUUCCAGAUACUGCCUGUAGAAAUGAUCCAAAUCUAGAAGACCGGAGACCUGGUUGAUUUUUAAGAACUCUAUAAGAUUCCAAACGCUUUGUUAUUCUCCAUGUAGGUGACUUCUGUUUUUGCCAGAAAUAAUAGGUACCAUUUAUUGAGCAUUUACUCGCAUCAUGGACUGGUGCAUUUAGAUGCAUUACUUAAUUUAAUAGUCUCAAUAAACCAAUAAAGUAGGCAUUAUUAUUAUUAUCCCUAUUUUAUAAAUAAGGAAAGUCUCAAGUAGGUUGAAUUUUCCAUGUUCUACAGAUGUUACAGGCUGAGGGAGGGGGAAAUUAGUUCAAAAAAAGCAUUAAUGUGGAGAUCCAGGAUCAGGUUUACUCAUCUUAUAAUCUUCUUGUGGGUCAGUACUGUUUAGCACCUCCACCUCUUAUCCUGCAUUAUUUAAACCACACUAUCUUAUCUCACCCAACCUUACCAUCUUGUCUUCUUCAUGCAACUGUGAACUCCUUGGGGACAGGGACAAAAUGACAAGUUCCAACUCAGUCUAGCUCUUGGAAUUUGGGCUUCAUAUUCAUGUUGGGACUCCUCCCUUGGUUUCUUUAUCCCCUUCUCCUUCUUCGAUGGACCACUAACUAUUACCCACGUUGGGGCUUCCAAGGAAGAACUAACAUUUCAUUUCCAAAUAUAUCCAGCAUGGAUUAUUUGUAAUGGCAAAGAUGAUACUAAGCCUGUUCACUUGCACAAUAAUACAGUAGGGCUGACCUAGUAAUGCACCCUCUCCCCUAAUUUUCCUUUUAUCUGGAAGCAGAUAAAAAUGACACUACUGAACCAGAGGUGAGCACAAUUGUCAUCAAUUUUCUAAAAAACAGACCUUAAUGGUAUAGGAUGGAAUGAAUGGAAGAAUAUCUAGCUAUAGAGAACAAUAUAGGGAGAUAUCUUUAUUGUUUUGUACUGAUUUUUUUGUUUCCCUUUAACAUUUUUGUUAUAUAGGUAAUAUAUCUUCAGUGUAGAAACAAUGAAAAUACUGAGAAGAAAAAAGAAAAAAGGUCCUCUAAAUCAUAACACCCAGAAAUAACUAUUGCUAAUAUUUUAUUUACAUCCUUCCAAUUAUAAAUGUAUUUGUAUGUUUGUUUGCUUAUGGCUCAGCCCAUACCUACUGUUUUGUAAAGUUUUGAUUUUUUUCAGCUUUGUAAUAGUGUGACUCUAUUCCAUGCCAUUAAACACAGACUUAUGUAAUAAUGAGCCUAGUACUUUUAGAAAGAGAAAAUAACUUUAUACUGAAAAUGCUAGAUGUAAGGAUGGUGUGAGUCUGCAGCUACCACGAAUGGAGAAAAUCUAACCUGCAUGUGCAUUAACUCAGUACAGAAGUAAGCAGAGUGACAGUGAAAGGCUGUCUUGAAAUAAUGCUUGAAUCCCUGGAUCCAGUUUUGCCUAAAGCUCUCUCUUUAAGAGUCAGUAAAGCAUAGUGGUUAGGAGUGCAGUCUCUGGAAGCAGACUGCCUCGGUUCAAAUCUUGGCUCUGCUGCUAGGAUUUAACAGGGUAAUAAAUGUCAUUCACUUAGAACACAGUCUGGCUAACAAUAGGCCCUCAAUAAACAUUAGCCAUUAUCAUGCUGAA